rnacentral:rRNA from 1 species
UCAGUCCNNACCUGNNNNGNNACNNNCCNNGNUCCUACCGGGAGGNNGCNGNGAGGGNNUUAUCCGACAAAUUGGCGGAAAGCCUGANGNAGCUACUNNGNCUGUAAGGAGCGAAAUGGAUCUUNGGGUUGUAAACCUUUUUUCUCNNNGNAAUAAAUAAUUGAAAGGUACCUGAGAGAGUAAGCCAUCCGGCUAACUCCUGUGCCAGCCAGCNGCCGGUAAAUACGGAAGGAGGCCAAGCGGUGUAUCUGGAAUGAUGGGCGUAAACGGUCCGCCAGGUUGGCAUUAGCAAGUGUAGAUUUAAAGACGUGAGGUUUAACUCUCGUAAAGCCAGUCGAAAUGUCACAGCGAGAGUGCGUUCAGGGGAGCAGGAAUUCCCGUGGUGGCGGUAAAUGGGUAGAGUUCAGGAAGAACCCGGGGGAAGAGCGUGCUACUAGGCCGUAUCUCACUUGAGGGAGAAAAGGUAGGGAGCAGACAGGGAUUAGAUACCCCAGUAGUCACACCCGUAAACGAUUGUUACUAGGCGUGGGAGGUAUCCACCUUAGCCGUGCCGGAGCUAACGCGAUAAGUAUCCCGCCUGGGGAGUACGCACGCAAGUGUAAAACUCAAAGGAAUUGACGGGGGCCCGCACCAGCGGUGGAGUAUGUGGUUUAAUUAGAAGCAACGCGAAGAACCUUACCCAGACUCGACAUGUCGAGAAUCUUCCAGAAAGGGAUUAGUGCCUUCGGGAGCUUUAACACAGGUGGUGCAUGGCUGUUGUCAGCUUGUGUUGUGAGAUGUUGGGUUAAGUCCCGCAACGAGCGCAACCCUUGUCCUUAGUUGCCAGCAUUUUGUUGGGCGCUAUUGAGAGAGAACCGGUGACAACAAGCAGGAGGAAGGGGGGGAGGUCAAGUCAGCAUCCCCCCACGUGGGGGGGACACACGUACUACACCAAUGCGGACAACAAGCAGAUACAAGGAGAUAUGAUGCAAAUAAUCCACAAAAGUAGCUCACAGUUCGGAUAACAGUCUGCAAUCAGCUUUGCGAGAAGUGGAAUAUCGUAGUAAAUCAUGUCAGCAUAUUGCACGGUGAAUAUUUUCCCGGGCCUUACACACCGCCCGUCACACCCAUAAGCUGGUCACGCCCGAAGUCAUUACCUCAACCUUCAGGGGAGCGGGAUGCCCACGGUAGGACAGGUGACUGGGGGAAGUCGAAUCAA